rnacentral:rRNA from 1 species
UACGAAGGGUGCAAGCGUUACUCGGAAUUACUGGGCGUAAAGCGUGCGUAGGUGGUUCGUUAAGUCUGAUGUGAAAGCCCUGGGCUCAACCUGGGAAUGGCAUUGGAAACUGGCGACCUAGAGUGCGGUAGAGGGUAGUGGAAUUCCCGGUGUAGCAGUGAAAUGCGUAGAUAUCCGAAAGAACACCGGUGGCGAAGGCGGCCUGCUGGGCUACUGCUGACACUGAUGCGCGACAGCGUGGGGAGCAAACAGG